rnacentral:rRNA from 1 species
AUUGAACGCUGGCGGCAGGCCUAACACAUGCAAGUCGCACGAGUGGCGGACGGGUGAGUAAUGUCUGGGAAACUGCCUGAUGGAGGGGGAUAACUAAUGGAAACGGUAGCUAAUACCGCAUACCAUCGGAUUUGCCCAGAUGGGAUUAGCGAGUAGGGGGGGUAAAGGGUCACCUAGGCGACGAUCCCUAGCUGGUCUGAGAGGAUGACCAGCAACACUGGAACGUAGAAACGGUCCCGACGCCUACGGGAGGUAGCAGUGGGGAAGAUUGCACAAUGGGCGCAAGCCUGAUGCAGCCAUGCCGCGUGUAUGAAGAAGGCCUUCGGGUUGUAAAGUACUGUCAGCGGGGAGGCGUUACCCGCAGAAGAAGCACCGGCUAACGCCGUGCCAGCAGCCGCGGUAAUUC